GUUCUGAAGCUGCGCUGUGGAUUUUUAAGCCGCUUUUUGAAAAUUCAGUAGGGAAUAUUUUACAAGCCGUGCAGAAGAUAUUUCCGCAUGCAGAUGUUGCGCUAAAGAAGGCCCAACAGCAAGAUUCUUGGACACUUCAGAUGACUCCUACUGGACAUUCUCAGGUAGACCAGCAACAGGAGCUCUUGUGACCAGGCCAAUUGCAAAUGAAGUCACUUGUUAACCAAUGCCAACGAAAACAAUGACGUGGAAGGACAUAGAGAUUGUGAAGUACUGAACCUAGAAUGCAGUGUGACUGUUUAGUGUCCACACCUGGUGUAGAUUUCUGUAGGCUACCGUUUGCUUUUGGUCAGCUGUAGUUUAGGAGACAGAUGCUUUGCCUAAUGCUGAAGGUCAAAGGCCUUGUUGAAUUUUCAGAUAGCGCACUGACGACCUGCUAGUACUAUUGGUUAUGAAUGUUGUUUUAACAAUUGGUAUGAUGGGUUUGAGGGCUUUUAUUGGGGGCUUUUUUUAAUUUAUUUUUUUGCACGCUUUGAUGUAUUAGGAACCGGAAAAGGAUCUUUAUUUCUUGCAGUGAUGAUUUUAAACCUGAAGUUAGCAGGUUGACAUAAAGUAGCUAGCCACGGAUAAGCGACUACGGAAAUUGCUUCAAAAUGCAGUAUUAGAAUUUCCCAUGCAUGCUAUUGCAGUGUAAUAAGGGUUUGC